rnacentral:rRNA from 1 species
AUGUCUAAGAAGAGGGGCCUUUCCUUGGAGGAGAAGCGGGAGCAAAUGCUUCAAAUAUUUUACGAGAGUCAAGACUUCUAUCUGCUUAAAGAGCUUGAGAAGAUGGGUCCUAAAAAAGGAGUGAUCAGCCAGUCUGUUAAGGAUGUUGUGCAAAGCCUGGUGGAUGAUGAUCUUGUCUUGAGAGACAAAAUAGGAACUUCUGUGUACUUUUGGAGUCUUCCCAGUUGUGCCGGAAAUCAGCUGAGGACUACCUACAACAAGCUGGAGUCUGACCUUUCAAACUCUAAAAAACGUUACAUGGAGCUUCUUGAGCAGAGAGACGACUUGAAAAGAGGCAGGGAAGACACUGAUGAGAGAGAAGACGCUUUGGAGGAGCUGAAGGCUGUAGAGCUACGCCAUAAGAAGUUAAAGGAAGAACUAGCUGCCUAUGCUGAUAGUGAUCCAUCUGCACUAGAGGCGAUGAAGGACGCUACUGAGGUUGCCCAUUCGGCAGCUAACAGAUGGACAGACAACAUCUUCACUUUGCAACAAUGGUGUUCAACUACAUUCCCGCAAGCAAAAGAACAGCUUGAACACAUGUACAAGGAGGUGGGCAUAACUGAAGACUUUGAGUAUCUGCAGUAA